UACGUAGGGUGCAAGCGUUAUCCGGAAUUAUUGGGCGUAAAGAGCUCGUAGGCGGUUUGUCGCGUCUGCUGUGAAAACUGGGGGCUCAACCCCCAGCCUGCAGUGGGUACGGGCAGACUAGAGUGCGGUAGGGGAGAUUGGAAUUCCUGGUGUAGCGGUGGAAUGCGCAGAUAUCAGGAGGAACACCGAUGGCGAAGGCGGCAUCCUGGACCGAUACUGACGCUGAGGAGCGAAAGCCAGGGGAGCAAACGGG
rnacentral:rRNA from 1 species